rnacentral:rRNA from 1 species
AUUGACGGGGGCCCGCACAAGCGGUGGAUCAUGUGGUUUAAUUCGAAGCAACGCGAAGANCCUUACCUAGGUUUGACAUCCUCUGACAACCGUAGAAAUACGGCUUUAGUAGCAAUACUACAGAGAGACCAGGUGCUGCAUGGCUGUCGUCAGCUCGUNUGGUGACAUGUUGGGUUAAGUCCCUUAACGAGCGCAACCCUUGUCCUUAGUUGCCAUCAUUCAGUUGGGCACUCUAAGGAGACUGCCGUUGUUAAAACGGAGGAAGGUGGGGAUGACGUCAAGUCCUCAUGGCCUUUAUAUCUAGGGCGACACACGUGAUACAAUGGUCGGUACAAAGAGAAGCAAAUGGGUGACCACAAGCAAAUCUCAAAAAACCGAUCUCAGUUCGGAUUGAAGUCUGCAACUCGACUUCAUGAAGGUGGAAUCGCUAGUAAUCGCGGAUCAGAACGCCGCGGUGAAUACGUUCCCGGGCCUUGUACACACCGCCCGUCACACCAUGGGAGUUGACUCAACUCAGAAAACGAUCAUGGCUAAUCCGCAAGGAGGCCUUCGUUGAAGGUGGGGUUGAUGACUAGUGGGUGAAGUCGUAACAAGGUAUGCCGUAUCGGAAGGUGCGGCUGGAUCACCUCCUU